rnacentral:ribozyme from 1 species
GGGUAGGAUCCGAAGCCUCUUGCAGGUUAACACAGGCUCUCCUACUCAACUCCUAUUCCGACACGUCCUCGUCGUGCAGAGUGG